rnacentral:rRNA from 1 species
GUUGAACGCUGGCGGCGUGCUUAACACAUGCAAGUCGAUCGGUAACGCGGGGGCAACCCUGGCGACGAGAGGCGGACGGGUGAGGAACGCCUGGGAAUCUGCCCUUCAGCGGGGGACAACACGGGGAAACUCGUGCUAAUACCGCAUACGCUCCACGGAGGAAAGCCGGGGACCGCAAGGCCUGGCACUGAAGGAUGAGCCCAAGUCGGAUUAGCUAGUUGGCGGGGUAACGGCCCACCAAGGCGACGAUCCGUAGCUGGUCUGAGAGGACGAUCAGCCACACUGGGACUGGGACACGGCCCAGACUCCUACGGGAGGCAGCAGUGGGGAAUAUUGGACAAUGGGGGAAACCCUGAUCCAGCGACGCCGCGUGGGUGAAGAAGGCCUGCGGGUUGUAAAGCCCUUUCGGUAGGGACGAAAGCUCUCGACCUAACACGUCGGGAGGUUGACUUAACCUACAAAAGAAGCACCGGCUAACUCUGUGCCAGCCGCCGCCGUAA